UGGGGAAUAUUGCACAAUGGGCGCAAGCCUGAUGCAGCCAUGCCGCGUGUAUGAAGAAGGCCUUCGGGUUGUAAAGUACUUUCAGCGGGGAGGAAGGGAGUAAAGUUAAUACCUUUGCUCAUUGACGUUACUCGCAGAAGAAGCACCGGCUAACUCCGUGCCAGCAGCCGCGGUAAUACGGAGGGUGCAAGCGUUAAUCGGAAUUACUGGGCGUAAAGCGCACGCAGGCGGUUGGAUAAGUUAGAUGUGAAAGCCCCGGGCUCAACCUGGGAAUUGCAUUUAAAACUGUCCAGCUAGAGUCUUGUAGAGGGGGGUAGAAUUCCAGGUGUAGCGGUGAAAUGCGUAGAGAUCUGGAGGAAUACCGGUGGCGAAGGCGGCCCCCUGGACAAAGACUGACGCUCAGGUGCGAAAGCGUGGGGAGCAAACAGG
rnacentral:rRNA from 1 species